UAGUUUUUUUAGAAAUAAAUUUAAUUUACAAAUUUUUAAUUUUUAAUUUAUUUUUUAAAUUUAAAAAUUUAUUAAUUUGAAUAUUUUAAGGGAUAAGCUUUAAAAUAAAAUAUUAAAAAUCAUUGAAUAAUUUAUUUAAAAUGUAUCAUAGAAUUAGCAAUCAUUUAUAAGUUUGUUAUAAAUUAUUUUAUAGUUUAUUUUAUUUAAUUUUGUUUUCAUUGAAUUUAUAAAAAUUUUUUUAUUAAUUUUAAAAUAAGAAGUAAUAAUGAUCAAAUUAGNAUAUUUAAUUAUUGUUAAAAUAUUUUAUAUUGAAAAGUUUAUAUAAAGAACUCGGCAAAUUUAUUUUAUACUCGCCUGUUUAACAAAAACAUGUCUUUUUGAAUUAAAUUUAAAGUCUGACCUGCCCACUGAAUAAUUUUAAAUGGCCGCAGUAUUUUGACUGUGCAAAGGUAGCAUAANCAUUAGUCUUUUAAUUGAAGGCUGGUAUGAACGGUUGGACGAAGUAUAANCUGUUUCAUAUAAAUUUAUAAUAGAAUUUUAUAUUUUAGUUAAAAAGCUAAAAUUUUAUUAAAAGACGAGAAGACCCUAUAAAUCUUUAUAUUUAAUAUUAACUAAAUUUUUUUGGUUUAUUUUAUUUUUUUAAUAUAAUUAUUUUGUUGGGGUGAUAUUAAAAUUUAAUGAACUUUUAAUUUUUUAAAAAUCAUUAAUUUAUGAAUUAUUGAUCCAUUAAUAUUGAUUAUAAGAUUAAGUUACUUUAGGGAUAACAGCGUAAUUUUUUUUAAGAGUUCAUAUCGACAAAAAAGUUUGCGACCUCGAUGUUGGAUUAAGGUAUAAUUUUGGGUGUAGUAGUUCAAAAAUUAAGUCUGUUCGACUUUUA
rnacentral:rRNA from 1 species